rnacentral:rRNA from 1 species
AUUGAGACUUGUAUGAAUGGCUAAACGAGGUCUUAACUGUCUCCUGUAGGUAAUCUAUGAAAUUAGUAUUCCCGUGCAAAAACGAGAAUGUGAGCAUAAGACGAGAAGACCCUGUGGAACUUUAAAAUCACGACCACCUUACAACCUUACACAGCCCCACUGGGUCCACCCACACAUAAACCCCUGGUCGACAUUUUUCGGUUGGGGCGACCUUGGAGAAAAAAAAAUCCUCCAAACCCACAGACCACAACUCUUCACUAAGACCAACUCCUCAAAGUACCAACAGUAACCAGACCCAAUAUAAUUGAGCAAUGGACCAAGCUACCCCAGGGAUAACAGCGCAAUCUCCUCCAAGAGCCCAUAUCGACAAGGAGGUUUACGACCUCGAUGUUGGAUCAGGACAACCUAAUGGUGCAACCGCUAUUAAGGGUUCGUUUGUUCAACGAUUAACAGUCCUACGUGAUCUGAGU